rnacentral:tRNA from 1 species
UCCGAUAUGGUGUAGUGGCUAACAUCGCUCGCUCUCAGUAAUGAACCGAGCAGCCCUGGGUUCGAUUCCCAGUAUCGGAG